rnacentral:rRNA from 1 species
GCCCUUCGGGGGUCGACCGUGGCGGACGGGUGAGGAGCACGUGGGGAACCUGCCCAUGCGGCGGGGGAUAACCCCGGGAAACCGGGGGUAAGACCCCAUGGGCUCGGCCGACGGGAGGUCGGGCGAGCAAAAGCGCCCCUUGGGGGGCUGCGCAUGGAGGGUCCUGCGGCCUAUCAGCUAGACGGUGGGGUCAUGGCCCACCGUGGCGAUGACGGGUAGCUGGUCUGAGAGGACGGUCAGCCACACGGGGACUGAGACACGGCCCCGACUCCUACGGGAGGCAGCAGCAAGGAAUCUUCCGCAAUGGGCGCAAGCCUGACGGAGCGACGCCGCGUGGGGGAGGACGCCUUUCGGGGUGUAAACCCCUUUUCUGGGGGACGAAGUUCUGACGGUACCCCAGGAAGAAGGCCCGGCUAA